rnacentral:rRNA from 1 species
CGGACGGGUGAGUAACGCGUAAAGAACUUGCCCUCUAGACUGGGAUAACAAGAGGGAAACUUCUGAUAAUACUGGAUAAGUUAGUAUAUCGCAUGAUAUGCAAAUGAAAGCUACGGCACUAAAGGAGAGCUUUGCGUCCUAUUAGCUAGUUGGUAAGGUAAGAGCUUACCAAGGCGAUGAUAGGUAGCCGGCCUGAGAGGGUGGACGGCCACAAGGGGACUGAGAUACGGCCCUUACUCCUACGGGAGGCAGCAGAG